UACGUAGGGUGCGAGCGUUGUCCGGAAUUACUGGGCGUAAAGAGCUCGUAGGCGGUUUGUUGCGUCGGCUGUGAAAUCCCGAGGCUCAACCUCGGGUCUGCAGUCGAUACGAGCAAACUAGAGUGUUGCAGGGGAGACUGGAAUUCCUGGUGUAGCGGUGAAAUGCGCAGAUAUCAGGAGGAACACCGGUGGCGAAGGCGGGUCUCUGGGCCGUAACUGACGCUGAGGAGCGAAAGCGUGGGGAGCGAACAGG
rnacentral:rRNA from 1 species